AGACCCAGGAGAUCUGAACUUGC
rnacentral:piRNA from 1 species